GAUCCUGGCUCAGGAUGAACGCUGGCGGCGUGCAUAACACAUUCAAGUCGAACGGACGAGAGGUCUUCGGACCUUGAGUCAGUGGCGGACGGGUGAGUAACGCGUGAGCAACCUGCCCAAGUGAGGGGGGAUAACGUUUGGAAACGAACGCUAAUACCGCAUAAAGUAUAUGGAAGGCAUCUUCCGGAUACCAAAGGAGAAAUCCGCACGAGGAUGGGCUCGCGUCCGAUUAGGCAGUUGGUGAGGGUAACGG
rnacentral:rRNA from 1 species